GGCAAAGUCUCCUGCUAAGAUGAGGGACUGCUUCAUCCCCCCAGGUUCCCCCCUCUCCCACGAAGGAUAAAUCAGAGCUACCUUGGUUAAAGGUGAUGGUUUUCCCCAUAAUGAAGAGGGAUUUUGAGAUGGUAUUGGGAAAUCAAGGCAGUUUUGCAGCUGCUCAGGUCCUUCCAAUGCGCAUUACUGCGAUGGAGCAUAGUGAAAUGUCAUAUUGGCAGGAUCAUCCAG
rnacentral:lncRNA from 1 species